CAGCCGCCGCGGUAAUACGUAGGGUGCAAGCAUUAAUCGGAAUUACUGGGCGUAAAGCGUGCGCAGGCGGUUUGUUAAGACAGAUGUGAAAUCCCCGGGCUCAACCUGGGAACUGCAUUUGUGACUGGCAAGCUAGAGUGUGGCAGAGGGGGGUGGAAUUCCGCGUGUAGCAGUGAAAUGCGUAGAUAUGCGGAGGAACACCGAUGGCGAAGGCAGCCCCCUGGGCCAACACUGACGCUCAUGCACGAAAGCGUGGGGGGCAAACAGGAUUAGAUACCCCUGUAGUCCCUGUCUCUUAUAA
rnacentral:rRNA from 1 species